CUGUUGUAGGAAAGGAGAGAGUGUUAACACACUCCUUGACAAAGAUAGAAGAGGCCCUUGGGCCUAACAACACUUAUACAAGUUAAAAAAAAAAAAAAACAAAGACUUUAAACUUUCU
ensembl:snRNA